UGAUGUGGCUCAAUGGUAGAGCAGCUGAUUUGUAAUCAGCAGGUUGUAGGUUCGAGUCCUAUCAUCA
rnacentral:tRNA from 1 species